UACGUAGGGUGCGAGCGUUAAUCGGAAUUACUGGGCGUAAAGCGUGCGCAGGCGGUUGUGCAAGACCGAUGUGAAAUCCCCGGGCUCAACCUGGGAACUGCAUUGGUGACUGCACGGCUAGAGUGCGUCAGAGGGGGGGUAGAAUUCCACGUGUAGCAGUGAAAUGCGUAGAGAUGUGGAGGAAUACCGAUGGCGAAGGCAGCCCCCUGGGAUGACACUGACGCUCAUGCACGAAAGCGUGGGGGAGCAAACAGG
rnacentral:rRNA from 1 species